AAAAACUUUCAACAACGGAUCUCUUGGUUCCAGCAUCGAUGAAGAACGCAGCGAAAUGCGAUAAGUAAUGUGAAUUGCAGAAUUCAGUGAAUCAUCGAAUCUUUGAACGCACAUUGCGCCCCUCGGUAUUCCGGGGGGCAUGCCUGUUCGAGCGUCAUUGC
rnacentral:rRNA from 5 species